UACAGAGGGUGCAAGCGUUAAUCGGAAUUACUGGGCGUAAAGCGUGCGCAGACGGUUGCGUAAGUCAGAUGUGAAAGCCCCGGGCUCAACCUGGGAAUUGCAUUUGAGACUGCGUAGCUAGGGUGCGGAAGAGGGAAGCGGAAUUUCCGGUGUAGCGGUGAAAUGCGUAGAUAUUGGGAGGAACACCAGUGGCGAAGGCGGCUACCUGGACCGGUUCUGACGCUGAUGCGCGAAAGCGUGGGUAGCAAACAGG
rnacentral:rRNA from 1 species